rnacentral:rRNA from 1 species
UACGGAGGGUGCAAGCGUUAUCCGGAUUUACUGGGUUUAAAGGGUGCGUAGGCGGGCCUUUAAGUCAGUGGUGAAAUCUCCGGGCUUAACCCGGAAACUGCCGUUGAUACUAUCUGUCUUGAAUAUCGUGGAGGUAAGCGGAAUAUGUCAUGUAGCGGUGAAAUGCUUAGAUAUGACAUAGAACACCCAUUGCGAAGGCAGCUUACUACACGAUCAUUGACGCUGAGGCACGAAAGCGUGGGGAGCAAACAGG